UUAACACGUGGGUAACCUGCCUGUAAGACUGGGAUAACUCCGGGAAACCGGGGCUAAUACCGGAUGGUUGUUUGAACCGCAUGGUUCAAACAUAAAAGGUGGCUUCGGCUACCACUUACAGAUGGACCCGCGGCGCAUUAGCUAGUUGGUGAGGUAAUGGCUCACCAAGGCAACGAUGCGUAGCCGACCUGAGAGGGUGAUCGGCCACACUGGGACUGAGACACGGCCCAGACUCCUACGGGAGGCAGCAGUAGGGAAUCUUCCGCAAUGGACGAAAGUCUGACGGAGCAACGCCGCGUGAGUGAUGAAGGUUUUCGGAUCGUAAAGCUCUGUUGUUAGGGAAGAACAAGUACCGUUCGAAUAGGGCGGUACCUUGACGGUACCUAACCAGAAAGCCACGGCUAACUACGUGCCAGCAGCCGCGGUAAUACGUAGGUGGCAAGCGUUGUCCGGAAUUAUUGGGCGUAAAGGGCUCGCAGGCGGUUUCUUAAGUCUGAUGUGAAAGCCCCCGGCUCAACCGGGGAGGGUCAUUGGAAACUGGGGAACUUGAGUGCAGAAGAGGAGAGUGGAAUUCCACGUGUAGCGGUGAAAUGCGUAGAGAUGUGGAGGAACACCAGUGGCGAAAGCGACUCUCUGGUCUGUAACUGACGCUGAGGAGCGAAAGCGUGGGGAGCGAACAGGAUUAGAUACCCUGGUAGUCCACGCCGUAAACGAUGAGUGCUAAGUGUUA
rnacentral:rRNA from 1 species